GAUGAACGCUGGCGGCGUGCCUAAUACAUGCAAGUCGAGCGAAUGGAUUAAGAGCUUGCUCUUAUGAAGUUAGCGGCGGACGGGUGAGUAACACGUGGGUAACCUGCCCAUAAGACUGGGAUAACUCCGGGAAACCGGGGCUAAUACCGGAUAACAUUUUGAACCGCAUGGUUCGAAAUUGAAAGGCGGCUUCGGCUGUCACUUAUGGAUGGACCCGCGUCGCAUUAGCUAGUUGGUGAGGUAACGGCUCACCAAGGCAACGAUGCGUAGCCGACCUGAGAGGUGGAUCGGCCAAACUGGGACUGAGAAACGGCCCAGACUCCUACGGGAGGCAGCAGUAGGGAAUCUUCCGCAAUGGACGAAAGUCUGACGGAGCAACGCCGCGUGAGUGAUGAAGGCUUUCGGGUCGUAAAACUCUGUUGUUAGGGAAGAACAAGUGCUAGUUGAAUAAGCUGGCACCUUGACGGUACCUAACCAGAAAGCCACGGCUAACUACGUGCCAGCAGCCGCCGUAA
rnacentral:rRNA from 1 species